CUAUAAGGCUGGUAUACUACCCACGGUAAAAAAAUUAUCAGUAAACGCUGAUAUUUAUACUUCUAAACAACUUUUUAGGAGUAUCUUAUAGUGGGAUUAUAGGUGUGAUGAGAAAAUUAUCUAUAAGCACACUAUAACGAUGUCGAGAAGCAUUUAAUCCUAUAGGAAUCCACGACAGAGGUCAUAUAAAGCUUCUUAUCAUGAUAACAAUUUUAUUCUUAUAAAGCUUUACAGGUGUACAAAAUCUAGCAUCUGAAAUGUUUUAUAGAAGGCAUUACACUCAGCUUCUGGAAUUUUCUUUUUAGGACGCCAAAAUAUAUAGUGUUUCAAUAAAUUGUUACUGUUUGAGUUUAUAGCGGAACAUAUAAGGUAGACAAAAUUUUUUAUUUUCUCAAAGUUAUUGCUUUGCAUGAUAAAGUUUUAGCAACCCAUUUAAAAAGUUUCUAUUUCAAUUUACACAAAAGCACCAUGAAUAUCAGGUUGCAGGCACAUGAAAGGAUUUGGUCGAAUGACUAUAAUGAUGAAUUAAUUAUUGAUCCAUCUAUAUAUCGCUAAUACAAACUCUUGGAAACUCUCUUCUUCGUUGCCAUCAAUUUAAGAUCAGGUUGCCUCGGAUGCACCGAUUUCAACCAAGAAGCAAGUAAUAAUAUAUUUGACAGUAUUAAAGAAAUUGUAAGAAAUCGACAAUAAUUGUUGCUGGAACAGCAAGGAAGCCAUGUUAUUGAAUAUGCUAGACUGGAAAUGAUCGAUUUGAAAAAGAAAAGCCAUAAUGAAGCACAUGCACAGUAUUAAUCUAUGUUGACCACUAGUUUAGACUGCUUUGGCAAUCUAUCUGGACAGCUUUGCAUUCAAAAGAGAUACCAUAGAUGAUUGAACGCACCCAGUGUGAACGCCGUCCAAAACAUGUGUUAUUACAAAAUGUUUGAUAGCGCCAUAAGUAAAAUAAAUUACAUUUCAAGAAAAGAAAGAAUUUCAAAACAAACCGAGAAGACGAUGUGUUAAAACUUAUCUACAAAAGUGAGCAAGGUUUCGCAAAUUGUUUCAAAUACAUCAGUAUUGUCAAUUUAGAUUCGUCAAAAAAAUCUAUCCCACAAUUCGAUCGACAGUUAGAGGAUGCCUUCAGCGUCUAUGUAAGAUUUUCGGGAAUGAAAAUCAAAUUGAAAUCAACUAAAGACUUGACUAUACCGGAAGGGUAUGCGGUAGAGGAACGGGUGAUUGUAUGAACAAAAUUCUAAACUGGAACAUCAAUGUUAAGGCGUGGAACUUUUUUCAUCUAAUUACCCGUACCACUACCGCAUACCCGUCAGUUGUGGCCAAGCCUUAAAUCUCGUCGAGAACUUUGCAAAUUUAAAUAUGAUUCACAUAAAAAAAAAAAAAAAAACAAAACAAAAACAAUCUAAACUUGACAUUCUAGAGCGCAUUUAAACGCCCAACCUGAAAGCCACGUUCGAAAAAUGUAUUCGAUGGUGCAAUCACGUUUCCAAAGCAAUAGAUAGCAUUCAUAAGUCUUUACCAAGAAAUAAAGACGCACAGGCUUAUCUAGGAACCUUAUUUGGUUGGAAUAAGUUAUAAUUAUGUUGCACCAAGAAAACGUUUUCAGUCAAUGAGUAAUUUGAGUGGUGGUGAGAAAACUAUUGCUGCUUUUUCUGUGUAAUUUACAACCUGAUCCAUUUUUGUUGCAUCUAUAAACGAGAUCACAUCAGAAUGAACCAUCAAACUAUUGUCAUUUCACUCAAAGAGAAGUUUUAUGUGCAUUCUGUUGCUUAAUUUGGAAUUUCACCAGCUGUGAGUUCUUAUCGAUGGAACAAAACGUGUCGAUGGAGAAACAAAUUUCACCCAAGGCGCAAUGAUAAUAAUCCUGCCGAAGCUCAAAUACGCAAUUUCAUAGGCAGCAACGAACGAAUCUCGGUGCCAGCUUAUAAAACCUAAUUUAAAUGGACUUAAUAUUAAUGCCAGGAUAAUAUUAAACUCCUACAAAUCAUUUUUUAGAAGGACACUGCACCGUUUCUCACAAAUGAUGGAUAAAAAUGUGGAAAGAAAGCCAAAGUAAACAAAAACUAAGUUGGCAAUCUUGUUCCUACAGAAAAAAUCAAUUAAAACUUGUCUGCAUCCCUGACACAGUAGUAUCUACUUGCUGCUCAGUUAAAAGUACAAUAUGUUCGCAUCUAAAAAGUACAAGAAAUAGAUGUUUUUAAAAGUACUAUGGGUGAGGCUAUCCAUGUGUUACGUACUGCAAGUGCGCCCUCCAUUGCAACAACAGCAGCAACAACAUCAGCAACAACUUCUGUCACAUCAGCAACAUGCACCGCAGCAACUGCACCAUCAGCAACCUUCUCAAAUGAUUCCUCCACAAAAACAUUCCCAACCACCUCCACAGCAUCAGCAGAAUCCUCUAUACCACCAGGGAAUGCAUCCGCAAAACUUCAAUCUACCGACAUUUGGUAUACCGCCCCCGGGCUGCGGUGGGUAUCAACCUGCAUGGGAUGAGCACAAUCUCCAUGUGGAAUGCAAUGGAAAGAGAUGAAGUCCAAAAACUGAUGGAAGAUGCUCAUCUUAAUGGAAAAUCAUUAUUUAGUGAAUUAAGUCAACGUUAUGGACGCCAAGAUCACAACAAAGCCAUCGAAGAAGUACGUGAACGUGAAAGUUUUUUUCAAAGAGUAAAUAUUGUCGAUUUUCUUCUCAAGAAAGAAGAGGAUAAAAUUCAGAAAAAGAAAAAGCAGCCUCAUACUACCACCAUCUUGUUGGGAUGCGUCUGCGAUCUCUUGUGCUAAUCUAUAUGCCAUUGUUUAUUGGUGCUUUGAUUCAUCAUGAAGUCGAAAAGAAGUAUAAAUGGAUUCAAGAGUUUUUGCAAUUUGUCUACAGCAAUUGCUGUUCGGUUGAUCCAAGGCAAAGUGAAUUGAGAUCAUCGAUCUUUGCUACAUUAACCAUUGUAGCACCAGAAGAAUUUGUCGCACACAGGAGAUCUAUUAGUGAAAUGUUGGCUGCUGCUUUAACUGAUUACGAAACCAGUGGAAAUAUGGCUACUCAAGUGACAUAUAAAAUUUGUACAACUAUGACCUAUUUGGUGCCAUUCAUUUUUAUACACAAGACUGUUGAAUUGACGGACCAGAAGUCGAUUGCUAUGAUUAUUAAGUUUCUUCAAGCUUUUGUCGUCGAGGACUCUCUGAUAAGGUUAUUCAAACUUUUGGAGUAUCCCCAACUACACUCAACAAACAUUCGUUUGUUGUUGGACUUUCACUUGGAAGCUUCGAAAAACACUCAGUUGGAUAGUUCGGUGCGUGUAAACACUGGCAUCUAUUGGCUGGUUGGUGCGCUUGAAGAAGAAGGUAAUUGUCAGGCAAGAGCUCGUUGAACUCAUCAUUCAGGUUGUCUUGAACCCAAUUGAGGCAUUACCCUCCAGUGGUGGAGAUGAAAAACAUGGCGCUGACACACCACCGUUGCUGGAAAGAAAAAUAACAUACAUAUUUUGAUUCUUCCGUGGUUGGCUGCAGCCACUGAAGCAUGCAAUGCUGAAUUUAAAAGUCAAGAGUUUGCUUCGGCAACAAGUGCUUCAUAUUGUUGUAAUAUACCUAGAGUGCUUAAAUGAACAUUAAAAUAAAUUAUAUAAAUUCA